rnacentral:rRNA from 1 species
AUGCGUUGCCCACUCCCAUCGAUCCCAUCUAUCGUUUCCGCCGCCGCCGCCCCGAAAAAACUCCAUCAAUCCCCAUCCUUGCUUGCCCACUCCCAUCGAUCAUUGUCACCGCCGCCGCCGCCGUCCGAUGGGGGAGACGUCGCCGCUGUCGCCGCCGCCGUCCGAGGGGGAGACGUCGCCGCCGCCGCUGCAAGGUAUGGCAGUUUGAAUCCCGCCCCCGCCUCUGCAAGGCAGGGCGGUUUCAAUCCCACCGCCGCCGAACUCCGGGAAUCGCCGCCGCCAAGUCUCCAGGGCAGGGCGGUUUCAAACCCUGCCGACGAACACCGGGAUAUGCAUAAUCGUCGCUGCCGCCCCCUCCCCCGGCUGCCCCAUGGUCUUCUAUCUCUCCCAACUCCGCUGCGUCUUCCGUCUCUGCAUGAAUCGCUGUUGUGGCAGCCACUCCCCAUGGCGGCCAUCCGGGCACACCGUUUCCGGGAUGAUGGAGGUGAUGUCGGCCAGUUCCCUGUUUUUGUUGGCAUCUUCUGCGAUGGGACCCGUGGGGGCAGGUCGCGCGCUGCUCAUCUGCGUCGAUGGCGUCGGUGUCGUCCUUCCCCUGCCAAGCAUGGCAGCUCCUUGGCUGGAUCACAGUGA